GAGGCCGCUCUGUGAAGCCCCCGUGUUUAUAACAAGCAUGGCUUGGACCACCUUCAACUAGAGGACUCUUGGCCUUUUUGCUACAUCACACAUGAUCAUGACCUAGUCCCACCCUCACCUGUGAAUCAACUGCCAGCUCUACAAUGCUGACUUCUAAGUCACCACAUCCUGGUCUUCAUCCACACCCACAGUUGCACAUUUCCAGUUGCUUACUGGAAGUAUCCCCACAAAGGUCCACAUGUUCCUCUGCAUAUCCAAGAUUUCAUGCCUGCAAAGAAGGCUGAAAUUAUCCCAGACUCUCCUCUACUCAAAACUCCUGCAUAAGUGACCGGCCACACCUUCCUGUGAUUCUGCCUUGAAAAUCAUUCAGCUCUGUAAACCACUGCCUAGCUGUGACUUUUGUCAUCUCAGUGAGAAGCUGCAAACUGGGUCUUACAGCAGGUGAAGGCUGAACUCCAGUGUAAGAAGAAGCUCACUUCUCCCCACAGUGUCUGGGGGAAGCUGCCUGGAUGUCCUCCAGCAUGAACUCAUGGUCUUGACAUCUUUG